AGACUCCUACGGGAGGCAGCAGUAGGGAAUAUUCCACAAUGGACGAAAGUCUGAUGGAGCGACACAGCGUGCAGGAUGAAGGCCCUAUGGGUUGUAAACUGCUGUGGUUAGGGAAGAAAAAGUAGCAUAGGAAAUGAUGCUACCUUGACGGUACCUGAUUAGAAAGCAACGGCUAACUAUGUGCCAGCAGCCGCGGUAAUACAUAGGUUGCAAGCGUUAUCCGAAAUUAUUGGGCGUAAAGCGUCUGUAGGUUGUUUGUUAAGUCUGGCGUUAAAUUUUGGGGCUCAACCCCAAAACGCGUUGGAUACUGGCAGACUAGAGUUAUGUAGAGGUUAGCGGAAUUCCUUGUGAAGCGGUGAAAUGCGUAGAUAUAAGGAAGAACAUCAAUAUGGCGAAGGCAGCUAACUGGGCAUACACUGACACUGAGAGACGAAAGCGUGGGGAGCAAACAGGAUUAGAUACCCUGGUAGUCCACGCCCUAAACGAUGAUCAUUAGUUGAUGGGGAACUCAUCGACGCAGCUAACGCAUUAAAUGAUCCGCCUGAGUAGUACGUUCGCAAGAAUAAAACUUAAAGGAAUUGACGGGGAUCCGCACAAGCGGUGGAGCAUGUGGUUUAAUUUGAUGUUACGCGUAGAACCUUACCCACUCUUGACAUCUUCUGCAAAGCUAUAGAGACAUAGUGGAGGUUAACAGAAUGACAGAUGGUGCAUGGUUGUCGUCAGCUCGUGUCGUGAGAUGUUCGGUUAAGUCCUGCAACGAGCGCAACCCUUAUCCUUAGUUACUACCAUUUAGUUGAGCACUCUAAGGAGACUGCCCGAGUAAUCGGGAGGAAGGUGGGGACGACGUCAAAUCAUCAUGCCUCUUACGAGUGGGGCUACACACGUGCUACAAUGGACGGUACAAAGAGAAGCGAAGUGGUGACAUGGAGCAAACCUCAAAAAACCGUUCUCAGUUCGGAUUGAAGUCUGCAACUCGACUUCAUGAAGUCGGAAUCGCUAGUAAUCGUAGAUCAGCUACGCUACGGUGAAUACGUUCUCGGGUCUUGUACACACCGCCCGUCAAACCAUGGGAGCUGGUAAUGCCCGAAGUCGGUUUAUAAAGAAACUGCCUAAGGCAGGACUGGUGACUGGGGUUAAGUCGUAACAAGGUAUCCCUACGAGAACGUGGGGAUGGAUUACCUCCUUUCUA
rnacentral:rRNA from 1 species